rnacentral:rRNA from 1 species
UACGUAGGGAGCAAGCGUUGUCCGGAAUCAUUGGGCGUAAAGCGCGCGUAGGUGGCUUCGUAAGUCCGUUGUGAAAGUCAAAGGCUCAACCUUUGAAUGCCGCUGGAUACUGCCUGACUUGAGUCCGGAAGGGGCGAGUCGAAUUCCUGGUGUAGCGGUGAAAUGUGCAGAUAUCAGGAGGAACACCAAUGGCGAAGGCAGCUCGCUGGAACGGUACUGACGCUGAGGCGCGAAAGCGUGGGGAGCGAACAGG